GACCCAUGAAGACGUACAGAUCCAGGAUUCCACCGGUGGAUAUCCAAGUGAGAGCUGGAGUUGGCUGGAGGAUCACUUCUGCAGAGACGAGAUCAGAAUUGAUCAAUGAGAGUCAGAGACGUCCAGUUCAAGUCCAGGACCAGAGAGGUGUAAUGUUCCCCAAGGCCAGACACAAAUGAAGAGGCCAAUGUGGUGGACAUCUGCAGGUACUGGUCAGCAAACAGCAAAGGAGCGACUGUGGUGUUCAUACUGGACAAAAAAGGAGAUAAUUGGAGAUUGUGUACAAGUAAAAGUGAAAUGAUAACCUUUUAAAGCCCCACUCCAAUCAUAUUUUAAUCUAUUGUAAAAACGGUUGCCUUUUACAAAAUUUGCAUGAGUUGUGGGAAGGACCAUUGUUGCAGAGUGACGCCACCCCCACUUCCCAUCACCCAUCUGUUUAUGGGCUGUGCCACUAGCUUGCACCCCCUCACACCAUGCAAAAAAAAAUGGUGAGCAAUAUUGGAGCUAGUUCACCAGAGUUUUGAGUCAGAUCCCAGCACAGACCAAGAAAACGAAGAUCUAUUUGUCUGCGAGUGACAAGCUGUUUUAAAUGUUUUUUUUUUCUCCUUUUGAAUCAAAACAGUUUGAAUAAAUAAAUACUCAGAAUGUAAUUUUACAACCAAUUGUCUUUAUAUAAUAAAAGUCCUCCAUCAUGAGAAAAAUUCCGCGAAAACAUGUCAAAAACACAAUUUUCAUCAGAGUGGGUCAUUAAUUACCUAAGAAAAAGACUUUAUUAUGCUAUAAACAAAACAAACUUACAUCACUCUUCCAUUAGUUGCUCGCCGCACUAUGAAGCCAAAUGGUUCUUCCUGGAACUCGGUGGUAUAGAGGACGUCCUGAGCAUCAGCUUUGGUAUGAGACACUCCUUCUGGAAGUGGAACUUCAUACCGUUGAGUGGAGGGGUCCUUUAUCUUUGUAG